rnacentral:rRNA from 1 species
AGAGUUUGAUCCUGGCUCAGGACGAACGCUGGCGGCGUGCUUAACACAUGCAAGUCGAACGGAAAGGCCCUUCGGGGUACUCGAGUGGCGAACGGGUGAGUAACACGUGGGUGAUCUGCCCUGCACUUUGGGAUAAGCCUGGGAAACUGGGUCUAAUACCGAAUAUGACCAUGCGCCUCCUGGUGUGUGGUGGAAAGCUUUUGCGGUGUGGGAUGGGCCCGCGGCCUAUCAGCUUGUUGGUGGGGUAAUGGCCUACCAAGGCGACGACGGGUAGCCGGCCUGAGAGGGUGACCGGCCACACUGGGACUGAGAUACGGCCCAGACUCCUACGGGAGGCAGCAGUGGGGAAUAUUGCACAAUGGGCGCAAGCCUGAUGCAGCGACGCCGCGUGAGGGAUGACGGCCUUCGGGUUGUAAACCUCUUUCAGCACAGACGAAGCGCAAGUGACGGUAUGUGCAGAAGAAGGACCGGCCAACUACGUGCCAGCAGCCGCGGUAAUACGUAGGGUCCGAGCGUUGUCCGGAAUUACUGGGCGUAAAGAGCUCGUAGGUGGUUUGUCGCGUUGUUCGUGAAAACUCACAGCUUAACUGUGGGCGUGCGGGCGAUACGGGCAGACUAGAGUACUGCAGGGGAGACUGGAAUUCCUGGUGUAGCGGUGGAAUGCGCAGAUAUCAGGAGGAACACCGGUGGCGAAGGCGGGUCUCUGGGCAGUAACUGACGCUGAGGAGCGAAAGCGUGGGGAGCGAACAGGAUUAGAUACCCUGGUAGUCC